GAGAGGAGUCGUGGUCAUUUCUGGAACCCAAGACCCAGUUGGUAGGGUCAGGGGGGUCUGCUGCUUUUAUUACUUUCUUUGUCCUUUUCACCACCUAUCUCUCCUUCCCCUGCCCUUUUUAUCUCUAUCUCUUCCGUCUCAGUUCUCACUCACUCACUCACCCAUUUCACCAUGAUCAAAGAGAUGAGAGACCCAUCUCUUCUCUCUCUCUCUCUCUCUUGCCUGAGGGUCUAGGGAGGAGAAUUGGGUUUGUGAUGAAAUAGUGGAGAAGGAAGGAAGGAGAAGAAGAAAGAAGCUUUUUGUUUUGAGGGGAAUGUUGUCUGGCUCGAGGUCACCAACUAGAUCUAUGAUGUUAAUCUCAAUUUAUCAGAUUUUGUUCAAAAUUUGGAUCUUUGAGAUACCCAUUUGGGAGAGAUCAUGAGUUACUGACGUCGGACCAGGCUUCAUUCCCCCCAAUUAUUGCUUCCACUACUCACUCUGAUCAUCGCAAUCUCCUCGAUCUGAUUUGUUCUCCGUGGAUGGUUUUUUUGCCUUGAUCUAUUGGUAGUUCUUAUCUUUCCCUGGCUGAAGAGAUGGCUUUAGCACUCAGGUUUUUUGGAGGUAUGCUUAGGUUACUAUUACUAUAUUCUGAUCAAUCUUUCUUUAUAUAUGUAAGUAGCUAGCAGAUUUGUUUGAUACAUCUAUCUCAUUUAUUUAUGAUCCUUUGAAUUUAAUUAUGUUUGCAAGAUAUUAUUAUGAUCCAAAGAUGUUACUAGC